rnacentral:rRNA from 1 species
GACGAACGCUGGUGGCGUGCCUAAUACAUGCAAGUCGAGCGGACCAAUAGAAGCUUGCUUCCGUUGGUUAGCGGCGGACGGGUGAGUAACACGUGGGCAACCUGCCUGUAAGACUGGGAUAACUUCGGGAAACCGGAGCUAAUACCGGAUAAUUCAUCCCCUCGCAUGAGGGGCUGCUGAAAGUCGGUUUACGCUGACACUUACAGAUGGGCCCGCGGCGCAUUAGCUAGUUGGUGAGGUAAUGGCUCACCAAGGCGACGAUGCGUAGCCGAACUGAGAGGGUGAUCGGCCACACUGGGACUGAGACACGGCCCAGACUCCUACGGGAGGCAGCAGUAGGGAAUCUUCCACAAUGGACGAAAGUCUGAUGGAGCAACGCCGCGUGAGCGAUGAAGGCCUUCGGGUCGUAAAGCUCUGUUGUUAGGGAAGAACAAGUAUCGGAGUAACUGCCGGUACCUUGACGGUACCUAACCAGAAAGCCACGGCUAACUACGUGCCAGCCGCCGCCGUAA